CAGGAGGAGGAGGGGGCCAGUGGGGGAGCAGUCCAUUCAGACAUCGGGAGCAGCAGCAGCAGCAGCCCUGAGCCACAGGAAGGUACCACCUGCCCUGCCUCUUGUGUCGUCCCCCAUGCCACACCCUCUGGCCCAAGACUCCCCAGUCCCACUCUGAAUGACCAGUGCCUUUGCUUCCCUUCCAGUUACAGACACAACUGAGGCCCCCUUUCAAGGGGAUCAGAGGUCCCUGGAGUUUCUGCUUCCUCCAGAGCCAGACUACUCACUGCUGCUCACCUUCAUCUACAACGGGCGUGUGGUGGGCGAGGCCCAGGUGCAAAGCCUGGACUGCCGCCUUGUGGCUGAGCCCUCAGGCUCUGAGAGCAGCAUGGAGCAGGUGCUUUUCCCCAAGCCUGGCCCACUGGAGCCCACGCAGCGCCUGCUGAGCCAGCUUGAGAGGGGCAUCCUGGUGGCCAGCAACCCCCGAGGCCUCUUCGUGCAGCGCCUUUGCCCCAUCCCCAUCUCCUGGAAUGCACCCCAGGCUCCACCUGGGCCAGGCCCGCAUCUGCUGCCCAGCAACGAGUG
rnacentral:sRNA from 1 species